CUGCUGAUUCUCUGAUUUAUUCCAUUUGGGGUUGUUGAGAUUUUUUUUAUUUUUGGAUAUUUUUUAUCUGAUCUUCUGUUUAAGAUCAGGGGAACCUAGAGAAGAAAAGGGUAUCCUAAGAUAUCCUCUUUUUUUUGAAUUUAUUCGUUGCCCAGAUUGUUUAAAGUCUUCAAAAAGAUGCAGCAAGAUCAGCACAAGAAGAGUUCCAAAGAAGUGGAGUUCUUCACCGAGUACGGUGAUGCUAAUAGGUAUAAAAUUUUGGAAGUUGUAGGCAAGGGAAGUUAUGGAGUAGUUUGUGCUGCAAUUGACACUCAUACAGGAGAGAAAGUGGCUAUAAAGAAAAUACCUGAUAUUUUUGAGCACAUUUCUGAUGCAAUUCGAAUUCUGCGUGAAGUCAAAUUGCUUAGACUUCUAAGGCAUCCUGAUAUUGUUGAAAUUAAGCGAAUCAUCUUACCACCUUCAAGACGAGAGUUCAGAGAUAUUUAUGUUGUUUUUGAGCUUAUGGAGUCUGAUCUUCAUCAUGUUAUUAAGGCCAACGAUGACUUGACACAUGAGCACCACCGUUUUUUCCUGUAUCAGAUGCUGCGUGCAUUGAAGUUCAUGCACACAGCUAAUGUGUACCAUCGAGAUCUUAAGCCAAAAAUAUAUUGGCAAAUGCAAAUUGUAAACUCAAAAUAUGUGAUUUUGGAUUGGCAAGGGUUGCAUUCAGUGAUACUCCAACCACAACAUUUUGGACGGAUUAUGUUGCUACAAGGUGGUACCGUGCACCAGAACUAUGUGGGUCUUUCUUCUCUAAGUAUACACCUGCUAUUGAUAUCUGGAGCAUCGGGUGCAUUUUUGCAGAGGUUUUGACGGGGAAACCACUAUUUCCGGGCAAAAGUGUUGUUCACCAGUUGGAUUUGAUUACUGAUCUUCUAGGGACGCCAUCAGUUGAUAUUGUAUCUGGGGUUCGUAAUGAAAAGGCAAGGAAGUAUUUGACAGAUAUGAAGAAAAAAAGCCCAGUUCCUUUUACUGAGAAAUUUCGAAAAGCAGAUCCUUUGGCACUUAGACUGUUGCAGAGGUUGCUAGCAUUUGAUCCAAAGGAUCGCCCAACUGCUGAAGAGGCUUUGGCGGAUCCAUACUUCAAGGGACUGGCCAAGAUUGAGAGGGAACCUUCUAGUCAACCAAUCUCGAAGCUGGAGUUCGAGUUUGAGCGACGAAGGGUCACAAAGGAUGACAUCCGUGAACUAAUAUUUAGGGAGAUACUAGAGUAUCAUCCUCAACUUCUGAAGGACUACAUAGCUGGAAAUAGUGGUGCAAAUUUUCUCUAUCCUAGUGCCAUUGGUAAUUUCAGAAGGCAAUUUGCUUAUCUAGAGGAGAAUAGUGGUAAAAGUGGCCCAGUAAUACCUCCUGGUCGAAAGCACGUCUCUCUCCCGCGAUCUACUGUAAAUUCCAGUACCAUCCCCCCGAGAACACAGCAGAAUCCUAUGUUUGAUCAUAGGCAAGUAACAGAAAAGGCAACUGCUGGCGUCAGAGUCUCAGACCCGAAGGUUUUGCGACCACCACCUCGAGUACCCACAGCCAAACCUGGAAGAGUUUUAGGACCAGUUUUAUCAUAUGAUGGUGACAGAAGCAUCAAAGAAGUCACUGAUGGAAGAGUAUAUCCCCAGAACUCUGUUGUCCAACCUCAUGGCAUGUCUCCACAUUAUCUGUUCAGAAGUAACUCUACACAUCUAGAGAGGUGUGGGACAGAAGCAGAGAAGGACCGCUCUCAAGUUAAACCGCAACAUGGCCAGUGCAUGGUUGCCAAGUCGUCCGCUAGUAUGAGUUUUGAGAUGAACACUAACCCAUAUUACCAUACACAGGCAAGGGUAGCACAGUUGGGAGGUCAAAUCGCCAUGGAUGCAAAACUACUACAGGCACAAACACAGUUUGGUGCAGUCGGUGCUGCAGCUGUUGCUGUUGCCGCUCACAGAGAGGUUGGCACCGUUCAGUAUGGUCUAACCUAGUAGAUACUAUUGUUUGAUGGUUCUUUGAAUCAAGUGAGGACAUCCACCUUGCAGUGAGACAGUUCAAGAUGUGCAUUUUCCCUCAGAUCAAUCAGCAUGGGAGAUCUGAAGAGGGACCUGUUAACCCGGUAGAUGAAAACCAUUUAUUAGUCGUUAGGGUCUCUAAAUAGGUAUUCUUUAGGUUCAGGUUGCCCUGUUGAGUUAGUAUUUAUGCCCC